GUCUGCGGCCAUACCACCCUGCACGCGCCUGAUCUCAGAAGCUAAGCAAUGCCAGGCCUAGUUAGGACUUGGAUGGGAGAAGCCAGGCAGCCCUGGCU
rnacentral:rRNA from 1 species